rnacentral:misc_RNA from 1 species
CCAGAGCAGCAUGCUGAUCCUGCAGGAGACAUGCAUAGACGCCGCGGGGUCGCUUGUAGUAUACGCUCCAGUUGACAUUCCAGCCAUGCACGUGGUGAUGAACGGUGGAGAUUCUGCUUACGUAGCGCUGCUUCCAUCGGGAUUCGCUAUUGUCCCUGACGGUCCUGGCUCGCGUGGGUCACUUGCUAACCCUAAUGGCCCAACUAGUAAUAACGGUGGUGGCGCUGCCGGUCAACACAGAGUGAGUGGGUCCCUUCUGACGGUGGCAUUCCAAAUCC